rnacentral:tRNA from 1 species
GGCCUUGGGGUGUCACCACGUGGGGUUGCAAACCCUAAAACGCAGAUUAACGCCUGCCGGGGCUU